rnacentral:rRNA from 1 species
UACAGAGGUCUCAAGCGUUGUUCGGAUUCAUUGGGCGUAAAGGGUGCGUAGGUGGCGGGGUAAGUCUGGUGUGAAAUCCUGGGGCUCAACCCCGGAUCUGCACGGGAUACUGCGAGGCUUGAGUUCGGGAGAGGAAAGCGGAAUUCCGGGUGUAGCGGUGAAAUGCGUAGAUAAUCCGGAGGAACACCAGUGGCGAAGGCGGCUUCUGGACCGACACUGACGCUGAGUGCGCGAAAGCUAGGGGAGCAACGGG